AUUGAACGCUGGCGGCAGGCCUAACACAUGCAAGUCGAACGGCAGCACAGAAGAGCUUGCUCUUUGGGUGGCGAGUGGCGGACGGGUGAGUAAUGUCUGGGAAACUGCCCGAUGGAGGUGGAUAACUACUGGAAACGGUAGCUAAUACCGCAUAACGUCGCGAGACCAAAGUGGGGGACCUUCGGGCCUCACACCAUCGGAUGUGCCCAGAUGGGAUUAGCUAGUAGGUGGGGUAAUGGCUCACCUAGGCGACGAUCCCUAGCUGGUCUAAGAGGAAGACCAGCCACACUAGAACUGAGACACGGGCCAGCCUCCGACGGGAGGCAGCAGUGGGGAAUAUUGCAGAAUGGGCGCAAGCCUGAUGCAGCCAUGCCGCGUGUAUGAAGAAGGCCUUCGGGUUGUAAAGUACUUUCAGCGGGGAGGAAGGCGGUGAGGUUAAUAACCUUGCCGAUUGACGUUACCCGCAGAAGAAGCACCGGCUAACUCCGUGCCAGCCGCCGCCGUAA
rnacentral:rRNA from 1 species